UUUCCUGUGACUGUAGCAUAUUACCAUAAGCUGGGUGACGUUAAAAAAACAACAACAAUAACAAAAAGCAUACAUUUUUUCUCUCCUACUUCUGGGGCAAGAAAUCUGAAAUUGAGGGACUCCACUUCCUCCAAAGUUUUAAGGGGAGAUUCCACUCCAUGUCUCUUGCAGAUCUUCUUGGUUCCACAUGCCCUUUAGCUUGUGGCUGCAUGACUCUCUCUAUCUCCGUGGUCACAUAGCCUCAUUCUUUUCUUUCUGUGUGUCCUUUCCCUAGGACACUUGUCAUUGGACUUAGGGCUCUCUCAAACCACCAUGACCUCAUCUCUUUAACUAUAUUUGCAAAGACCAUUCUUCCAGGUGAAGUCAAACUCACAAGUCCAAGGAUUUGGACACAAACACAUCUUUUGGGGUAACAUCAUUCAACCUCCUACUGAUACGCAUAAGCUAUGUGACAGUUGUUUCAAAAAAAUUGUUGUAAUUGUCUUUCUUAUUGAAUUUUGAAAUCUUAGUAUAUUUACUUCAUACUGAAAGCUACACAAUUCUUAACUUGAAAUUUUGGUCAAAUCUUUCCAAGGAUCUUCCGUUUAUAUCAGAUUCCCCUUUUCCAUACGACAAUGUAAUUUUUUUUGUCUUUGUCACUUAUUUUGGUUCCCAGUCAUGUAUUAUUUUAAAAAAAUUUCCUUAG
rnacentral:lncRNA from 1 species